rnacentral:rRNA from 1 species
UACGUAGGGUGCGAGCGUUAAUCGGAAUUACUGGGCGUAAAGCGUGCGCAGGCGGCUUUGCAAGUCAGAUGUGAAAUCCCCGGGCUUAACCUGGGAACUGCAUUUGUGACUGCAUGGCUGGAGUGCGGCAGAGGGGGACGGAAUUCCGCGUGUAGCAGUGAAAUGCGUAGAUAUGCGGAGGAACACCGAUGGCGAAGGCAAUCCCCUGGGCCUGCACUGACGCUCAUGCACGAAAGCGUGGGGAGCAAACAGG